UAACACGUAGGAUGCAAGCGUUAUUCGGAUUUACUGGGCGUAAAGCGCGUGUAGGCGGUUGGGAUAGUUGGAUGUGAAAGCUCCCGGCUUAACUGGGAGAGGUCGUUCAAAACUUCCCAACUAGAGUUUGGUAGAGGAAAAUGGAAUUCCGGGUGUAGUGGUGAAAUGCGUAGAUAUCCGGAGGAACACCAGUGGCGAAAGCGAUUUUCUGGACCGAUACUGACGCUCAGACGCGAAAGCUAGGGUAGCAAACGGGAUUAGAGACCCCGGUAGUCCUAGCCGUAAACGAUGUAGACUAGGCGUUGGUGGAGUAAAAUUCAUCAGUGCCGCAGCAAACGCGAUAAGUCUACCGCCUGGGGAGUACGGCCGCAAGGUUAAAACUCAAAUGAAUUGACGG
rnacentral:rRNA from 1 species